rnacentral:rRNA from 1 species
AACGAACGCUGGCGGCAUGCCUAACACAUGCAAGUCGAACGAGACCUUCGGGUCUAGUGGCGCACGGGUGCGUAACGCGUGGGAAUCUGCCCUUGGGUUCGGAAUAACAGUUAGAAAUGACUGCUAAUACCGGAUAAUGUCUUCGGACCAAAGAUUUAUCGCCCAGGGAUGAGCCCGCGUAGGAUUAGCUAGUUGGUGAGGUAAAGGCUCACCAAGGCGACGAUCCUUAGCUGGUCUGAGAGGAUGAUCAGCCACACUGGGACUGAGACACGGCCCAGACUCCUACGGGAGGCAGCAGUGGGGAAUCUUGCGCAAUGGACGAAAGUCUGACGCAGCGACGCCGCGUGAGUGACGAAGGCCUUCGGGUUGUAAAGCUCUGUGGAGAGGGACGAAUAAGUGUCGUCGAAUAGACGGCAUGAUGACGGUACCUUUUUAGCAAGCACCGGCUAACUCUGUGCCAGCAGCCGCGGUAAU